UCUACACUCUAGGCGCUGAAAAGGAAAAAAAUGGUACUCCCAAUCAUUGCUGGCAUUCUUGCCGGGUGCGGCAUCUACUAUGCUUCCCGCGUCGGCCCACGAAUCGCACAGCGGGUGUCGGCCUCUGGUGCGCAAAAUGCCUCCUCGCGUUUUCUGAAAAGCGCCAAGCCGUAUCACAAGUUCGAGUACGGAUUCCAGUCCCCCAUGACAGAGUACGAAGCCUACAUGCUUCUCGGAUUCAAGGAAAACGAGGCAGGCGCCAUUUUUUGCCGCCCGGCACCCGAGGAGGUGAAGAAGCGAUACCGAAACAUGAUGAAGGACUUUCAUAGUGAUGUCAGUGGAACGCCCUACAUCGCGACAAAGCUGAACGAGGCGAAAGACAUUCUCAUCAAAUGAAAUUGUGCCUUGGGAUGAGUUUGAGCGCUCCCCAAGCUGGGCCAGCUCAGGAGGCACGAACUUCUUAUUGCUUUGGUGUUUUUUUACCGGUGGCCGCGGCGCUACUCUGUGCGUAUUCGCUCGAUCCGGCCCCUUUUCCUUCUCGCUGUGACCUUUUUGCUUGUGCUUGCUUCUUUGAACCAGUGCUUAUCUCUUCCCACGCUUGAACGUAUUAUGCCUAU
rnacentral:misc_RNA from 1 species